UCCAAAAGAAGGUUUGAGGUAUUUUGUAAUUUUGUUUUAGAUAAAUGUUUUAAGUGAAAAAGGAUCACCUACCGUGGGCCGUCGCAAUACCAGCACCCGUGGCCCAAAGCUGAAAUUGGGCGUCUUCUUCGUCUCCAAAUUCUUCGCAACAGCAUCACCCAAAAAAAAAAAAAAAAAAAAUUUCUUCGCAACGCUUUCGCAGAUAGCUUUGUUCUGUGGAUCAAAUUCUUAAGAACUUCGUUCGUUUGACCGUAUUGAAUUCUCCAACAGCUCUUCAAGUUGAAAAGGCAGCCGGCAAACUCAGAGAGUCGCACUCUCGCAAACAGAUCUUGGUCGGUUGCCGCAGCACAGAGACAAAAGAAUUGACCCGAAAGAAUCACAAAAGGUUUGCACUUUGGCUCAUAAGUUGAAGGAAGAACAUGGGUCAUGACCAUCAUCACCGUAACCAUCACCAUCACCAUCAUCAUGGAGACAGCCCAUAUGAUGAUCCAUUCUUGUCGUGUUGUUGUUGCCCUUGUUAUUUAUUCUCUUCCAUCUUCAGGCGAUUUUUGAGAGGCGUUUCUGUGGCUUGUUACCCUCUUCUGCACUGCCUUGGACUGGAUGACUAUGGUCGCCAUCACCAUCACCACAGCCAUUUCAACUGAAACUUACUUAUUAUUAUUAUUAUUCUUUUUUUAAACUCUUGAAUGUGAAAAUAAGAUCUUCCAAGUGCUUUUUGAGAUUUGGACGGGUAAAGAUUAGUUCUUGAUUAUUUCUAAUUGGGUUCUUGCAAAUGAAUAUUGGGAUAUAUUUUGGCUAAUUAAUUAGACGAAAGUUAUUGGUUGAA